UGAGGUCUACAGCAUAAUUCCCUUGG
rnacentral:piRNA from 1 species